ACUCAAAUGAAUAGACGGGGGCCCGCACAAGCGGUGGAGCAUGUGGUUUAAUUCGAUGCAACGCGAAGAACCUUACCUGGGUUUGACAUCCCUAGACAGUCCUAGAGAUAGGAUCUCCCCUUCGGGGGCUAGGAGACAGGUGCUGCAUGGCUGUCGUCAGCUCGUAUCGUGAGAUGUCGGGUUAAGUCCCUUAACGAGCGCAACCCUUAUCCCUAGUUGCCAUCAUUCAGUUGGGCACUCUAUGGAGACUGCCGGUGUUAAACCGGAGGAAGGCGGGGAUGACGUCAAGUCCUCAUGGCCUUUAUAUCCAGGGCGACACACGUGCUACAAUGGCCGGUACAGAGGGUUGCCAACCCGCGAGGGGGAGCUAAUCUCAGAAAGCCGGUCUCAGUUCGGAUUGAAGUCUGCAAUUCGACUUCAUGAAGCUGGAAUCGCUAGUAAUCGCGGAUCAGAACGCCGCGGUGAAUACGUUCCCGGGCCUUGUACACACCGCCCGU
rnacentral:rRNA from 1 species